CAGUCGCCGCGGGAAUACGAAGGGGGCUAGCGUUGCUCGGAAUCACUGGGCGUAAAGGGUGCGUAGGCGGGUCUUUAAGUCAGAGGUGAAAUCCUGGAGCUCAACUCCAGAACUGCCUUUGAUACUGAGGAUCUUGAGUUCGGGAGAGGUGAGUGGAACUGCGAGUGUAGAGGUGAAAUUCGUAGAUAUUCGCAAGAACACCAGUGGCGAAGGCGGCUCACUGGCCCGAUACUGACGCUGAGGCACGAAAGCGGGGGGAGCAAACAGGAUUAGAUACCCGCGUAGUCCCUGUCUCUUAUAA
rnacentral:rRNA from 1 species